GCCUAGUGAUAGCUGGUUGUUCAGGAAAAGAGUCUUAGCUCUACCUUAAUUUUUUUAUUGCACCAAACAAAACACUAGAUUUAAGAGCUAUUCAAAUAAGGCACAGCUUAUUUGAAACGGGAUACAACCCCUAAUACUGGGUAAAUCUAGAUAUAUCAAAUAAAGUGGGCCUAAAAGCAGCCAUCUUCCAAAAAGCGUUAAAGCUUAACAUAUUGUAUCUACAAUUCCACAAUUUUUACUUAACCCUUCAUCACUACUGAACUAUUUUAUACCCCUAUAAAAGUCAUUAUGCUAGAACUAGUAACAAGAAAUUGCCCUUCUCCAAAAUGUAUGUUUAAACCAAAAUGGACACUCCACUGGUAGUUAACGUAAAUGUAAAAAUCAUAGCACCAUAUACUAGAAAACCCUAUGACUCCCCAACGUCAACCUUACACUAGAACAUUACAGGAAAGAUUAAAAGAGAAAGAAGGAACUCGGCAAACCACAGUCCCGCCUGUUUACCAAAAACACCGCCUCUUGCUCAAAUAUAAGAGGUCCAGCCUGCCCAGUGACAUAGUUUAACGGCCGCGGUACCCUAACCGUGCGAAGGUAGCAUAAUCACUUGUUCUUUAAAUAAGGACUCGUAUCAACGGCAUCACGAGGGCUGUACUGUCUCCUUUCUCCAAUCAGUGAAACUGAUCUCCCCGUGAAGAAGCGGGGAUUGACCUAUAAGACGAGAAGACCCCAUGGAGCUUUAAACCCAACACACACCUCUACUCACUCAAAUCAGCAUAACCCAAGAGACUUAUGUGUUGGUUUUAGGUUGGGGGGACCGCGGAGUAAAAUCAAACCUCCAUGACAGACGGACUAACACCCUUAUCCAUGAACCACAAUUCUAAGAGCCAAUAAAUUGUUGUCUAAUGACCCAUUACUUGAUCAACGAACCAAGUUACCCUGGGGAUAACAGCGCAAUCUACUUCAAGAGCCCCUAUCGACAAGUAGGUUUACGACCUCGAUGUUGGAUCAGGGUAUCCUAGUGGUGCAGCCGCUACUAAAGGUUCGUUUGUUCAACGAUUAAAACCCUACGUGAUCUG
rnacentral:rRNA from 1 species